GGCGUUUUCUUGAUUGUUUCUGGGCGUUUUUCAAUGGGCGGCAGCGGCGCAGGCUUUUGUUUUUUUUUGGGCGUGGCAUUUACAGAGAUCACUCAAGCAGGCAUAUUUAUAUGGACGUAAUACAACUUAAGGCACGCGUUUUGCAUUGGUAUAAAUACAGAUACAAUAAAUAACACACGAAACGAAACUGUGAAGGAACUGGAGCUGGAACUAGCGCGCGCUUUUUAAAAGUAUCGGUUCGUUAGGCUCCACAUCCAGCCGGGCAGCAGACCCAUGCCAGUGCCCGUAUUUGUGUUCGUAUUUGGAAUCUGCGGUACUGCAUUAUGGCAAUAUACGUUUGGAUGGAAUUGAUCGAUUGAUCCCAACCGAAAUGAAAUGAGAGACAGAUAUGUAAUAAAGAAAAAUUGAUAAAAAAGAUAAUCGCAUAAAUACAAUUUCAGCAAGUCGAAGCGGUUUACAGCGGGCAGCUUUUGGGUGUGCGCAGGAUUACGUGCUGUUUGUGACGUAACUAAAUACAAUUUGAUCUACGAAUGAUUGCGAUUGCGAUUGCGAUACGUUAAGCAAGCGAUAGCGAUAGCGAUAACGAUAGCUAAUAAUCAGUUCGAUCAACUGGCAUAAAAUACAAUUGCUAAAAAUGAAGCACACAGAGCUACAAUUAAUAAAGCUUAAUUACACGCAGACACACACAUCAGAGAUGGGAGAGCAGCUUUUAAUUGAUGACACACACACACACACAGAUUGGGUGAGGGGUAAGUCGUAAGAAGCAAAAGCAAAAGCAAAGCGGCGGGUGUGGUAAAUCUUUCGAUAUGCGCGCGUUGCUUUGUUUUUGCUUUCGUUAAGUUCUUGUUCUUUUUCUUCUUGUUAUUUAGUUGUGUGUGUGUGUGUGUGUGUGUGAGCGCGUGCGUGCGUGUGUGUGUGCCGUGGAGUUCGUUGUUAUUGCUGUUCUUUUCAUUUGAUUAUGUUUUUGCUUUUCAUUUGUGUUCUGCAGUUGUGUUGUUGUUAAUUGUUCUGUUUCGUUUUUAUCCGCGUCUCUUAAAGCCUGCAAGAAAUAUGUACAUACGUACAAGUGGAUGACAUAUACAGUUGAAGUUCAGAGCUCGAUUUAUGUAAAUUGAAUAAGUUAUGGGCAACAAGCACGUGCAUGCAUGUGUUAAGUAUUCAAAUUGGCCGACCGACCGACCGUCGGUAAUCGUGCAAUCUGGGUCAUAACAUAACGGUUGUGGACCACAUACAUACAUAUGUACAAACGGUGGAUAACUUAUGAGGUUCAAACGUUAUUUGCUGGGCAAUAAAAACAAACACAUUGACUUCAAUAAUAGAAUUGAACUACAAUACGAGUACGAGUACGAUACGAUACAUAUAUAAACUUAAUUAAACAUACCAUAUUUGUAUAAAUUCAUUUAAUGGAUACGUCUCUGUGUGGAGAGACUGCCAGAUUUUUAAGGAUUUUUAAAACAUUUUUUUGGCUGGUAAGAAAUAACAACUCAUACAUGUUUAUGAGAUCUUUUUGACUUUAGUUUCGAUCUUUCGAAUUUCUAUUAAAUAUUUUGUUUACAGUUCAGCUACUAUCGAAUCCGCUUGGGACUCAAACAAAACUACCGCCGAGUCGAUCCCACUCACCUGCGUCCAGAUCAAUAUCACCAUUACCAUCAUCAGCAUGCAGCCGCGAUCGUUGCUCAGACUCAAAUGGAUCCUCUUCAAAAUUACCUGUGGACGAGGGCGUGUUCUUGCAGCCGAACCACCAGUGUGCCGUCGGCCUGGGGAAUGCCGGCGUGGCCGUAUCCACCUGUUAAAGAGAACGCAGGUAUCUCUGUGUCGAGCGCUGUGACCUGCGAACCGGCCACGGUUACUUUUGUGUCUUCCCUGGAGGCGCUGUCAACAAACGAACAAACAAACAAACAAUCAGAAUCAAGUGCGACAGGCACUUAACUGGCUCCAUUGUCCAUUUUGAAGAGCGCGUUGCGUGGGCGAGGAGCCACUGCCUCGAGGCUGUUCCCGCUUCCGCCUGUGCCACACCCACCACGCAAGCAUAGCUACUUGAAACUUGUGUGAAAACCGCUUGAUUAAGUUUAAAUGCACGUUGAUUGUCACUGGACACCGGAUCCGAGGGAGCGUGGCGGAUCGG